CCUACGGGAGGCAGCAGUGAGGAAUAUUGGUCAAUGGCCGUAAGCCUGAACCAGCCAAGUCGCGUGAAGGAAGACUGCCCUACGGGUUGUAAACUUCUUUUAUAGGGGAAUAAAUGUAUCCACGUGUGGAUAUUUGCAUGUACUCUAUGAAUAAGCAUCGGCUAACUCCGUGCCAACAGCCGCGGUAAUACGGAGGAUGCGAGCGUUAUCCGGAUUUAUUGGGUUUAAAGGGUGCGUAGGUUGGUUUUUAAGUCAGUUGUGAAAGUUUGUGGCUCAACCGUAAAAUUGCCGUUGAAACUGGGGAUCUUGAGUAGGGGAGAGGUAGGCGGAAUGCGUGGUGUAGCGGUGAAAUGCAUAGAUAUCACGAAGAACUCCGAUUGCGAAGGCAGCAUACCGGCGCCCGACUGACGCUGAGGCACGAAAGCGUGGGGAUCGAACAGGAUUAGAUACCCUUGUAGUC
rnacentral:rRNA from 1 species